GUGGGGAAUAUUGGACAAUGGGCGAAAGCCUGAUCCAGCCAUGCCGCGUGUGUGAAGAAGGUCUUCGGAUUGUAAAGCACUUUAAGUUGGGAGGAAGGGCAGUAAGUUAAUACCUUGCUGUUUUGACGUUACCGACAGAAUAAGCACCGGCUAACUUCGUGCCAGCAGCCGCGGUAAUACGAAGGGUGCAAGCGUUAAUCGGAAUUACUGGGCGUAAAGCGCGCGUAGGUGGUUUUGUAAGUUGGAGGUGAAAUCCCCGGGCUCAACCUGGGAACUGCCUCCAAAACUGCAAGACUAGAGUACGGUAGAGGGUAGUGGAAUUUCCUGUGUAGCGGUGAAAUGCGUAGAUAUAGGAAGGAACACCAGUGGCGAAGGCGACUACCUGGACUGAUACUGACACUGAGGUGCGAAAGCGUGGGGAGCAAACAGGAUUAGAUACCCUAGUAGUCC
rnacentral:rRNA from 1 species